rfam:Stachybotrys chartarum IBT 40288 unplaced genomic scaffold C40866, whole genome shotgun sequence.
GAAAUUAUUAUGGAUUAUAAGUUAUGUAUUAAAGAGAAUAAAUUAUAGCUAAAUAUUUAUAAGAAAUAUUUAUAAUAUUAACUCUAAGAGAAAUUAAAUAAUAAACAAAGUGAAUUGAAGCAUCUUAGUAACUUUAGGAAAAGAAAUCAAAAGAGAUUCUAUGAUUAACGUGAGUUAAAGUAGAGCAGUCUAAAAAGUAGAACGGUAGAUAAACUGUUUAAACUUUAUGGGGAACCUUCCUCAAAGACUAAAUAUAAUACAUACACGUUAGUGUAAAGUACCGUAAGGGAACGAUAUGUAAAUAGUAAUUUUAUAAGCAGUUCGAGGCGUAAGCUAUAGAACGUACCUUUUGCAUAAUGGGUCACCAAGUUAACAUUAGAUGCAAGCGUGCAUAUGAAGCAUGCGUAGAUAAACCAAGCGUUAAAAUAACGGUAUAGUAUCUAAAGUUAGACCCGAAGCCUAGGGAUUUUACCACAAUCAGGAUUAUAAAAGUCCGAACGGUAUAUUGUUGCAUAAAUAUCCGAAGAAUUGUGGUAGGUAUAGUGAAAGACAACACUGACUAGGAAUAGCUGGUUUUCUGCGAAACCUAUGAUAGUAGGCAAUUUAAGUAAAUAUCUUAGCAGGUACAGAAUUUAAUCUCAGACAAGACAUGUAUAACUCUUUAUUGGUUUAUACAUGUUUUAUUUUGUACAAAUUGGGGGAUCGUGAAGAUUUUAUCAGUGAGUAUGUAGAAUCGGAAUGGCAAAGAUAUAUUUUGAAUUAUCAGACAUAGAAUGAGAAGGUUGUAUGUCAAAAGGGAAACAGCCCAGAACAAGAGUUAAGGUUCCUAAAUUAUUAGUUAAGUGAAAUUAAGAAGGUUUUUAUUUAAGUCGACAAGGAGAUAGGCUUAGAAGCAGCCAUAAUUUUAUGACCUCGUAACAGAGCGCUUGUUAAGUUAUAAAAGCAUCGAAAAUUUAACGGAUCUAAACAAUAUACCGAAACCUUGUCCAUGUUAAUUUAUGAUAAAAAUUUAUUAUAAAUAAAUGGGGUAGCAGAACGUUGGGUUAUUUUAGGAUUUUACUUUUUUAAAGUAAAAUACAACAAAUUAACCUAAGUGAUAAUGGUGACAUGAGUAACUAAAAGAAAAAUAUUCCGCCUAAAGCUUAUGGAUAGAUUUAAGUAACGGCCUCUAAGUUUAUAUUACCUAAAGGUUUGAACGAUGAGAAAAUCUUUUUUUACUAAGGACAACAUUUUUAUGUGCAAAAUGUGCAGGAAAAGUAGUAAAUAUUAAGGAUUUGUUUACAAAUUAUAAAUUUGUUUACAAAUUAAACAACCGUACCUAGAAACUGAAACAAGUAAGCUAGUAGAGAAUACGAAGGCGUAAAUGAGCUAACAAUCAUAAAGGAACUCGGCAAAAUGACUACCGUAACUUAGGGAUAAGGAGGGCUCAUUAUUCUUGAUUAAUAUCGAGUAAAAAGGAAGAAGCAUAAAAUGGUGUUGUACGACUGUUUAAUUAAAACACAGCACUUUGCAGAAAGAUAAAAAAAUCUAAGUAUAAAGUGUGAUAUCUGCCCGGUGCCGGCUGGUUAACAGAUAUACUUAAGUAUAUUACUACUUAAAAUAGACGGAACCCCCGGUUAAAGGCGGCCUUAACGUGAGGGUCCUAAGGUAGCGAAAUGCCUUGGCCGUUAAAUGCGGUCUCGCAUGAAUGGUGUAACGAUACAACAGCUGUCUCUAUGAUUGACUCAGUGAAAUUG